rnacentral:rRNA from 1 species
AUUGAACGCUGGCGGCAGGCCUAANACAUGCAAGUCGAGCGGUAGAGAGGUGCUUGCAUCUCUUGAGAGCGGCGGACGGGUGAGUAAUGCCUAGGAAUCUGCCUAGUGGUGGGGGAUAACGUUCGGAAACGGACGCUAAUACCGCAUACGAUCUACGGAUGAAAGCGGGGGAUCGCAAGACCUCGCGCGAUUGGAGCGGCCGAUAUCAGAUUAGGUAGUUGGUGAGGUAAAGGCUCACCAAGCCGACGAUCUGUAGCUGGUCUGAGAGGACGACCAGCCACACUGGGACUGAGACACGGCCCAGACUCCUACGGGAGGCAGCAGUGGGGAAUUUUGGACAAUGGGCGCAAGCCUGAUCCAGCAAUGCCGCGUGCAGGAUGAAGGCCUUCGGGUUGUAAACUGCUUUGUACGGAACGAAACGGUGAGCUCUAAUACAGUUUGCUAAUGACGGUACCGUAAGAAUAAGCACCGGCUAACUACGUG